rnacentral:rRNA from 1 species
UACAGAGGUCUCAAGCGUUGUUCGGAUUCAUUGGGCGUAAAGGGUGCGUAGGCGGCGCGGUAAGUCGGGUGUGAAAUCUCGGAGCUUAACUCCGAAACUGCAUUCGAUACUGGAAGGCUUGAAUCCGGGAGAGGGAUGUGGAAUUCCAGGUGUAGCGGUGAAAUGCGUAGAUAUCUGGAGGAACACCGGUGGCGAAGGCGACAUCCUGGACCGGUAUGACGCUGAGGCGCGAAAGCCAGGGGAGCAAAGCGGG